rnacentral:rRNA from 1 species
UUCAGACUCGUGGCGAAUAGCUCAGUAACACGUGGCCAAACUACCCUUCGGAACACAAUACCCUCGGGAAACUGAGGCUAAUAGUGUAUACCAUACCACCACUGGAAUGAGUGGUAUGCCAAACGCUCCGGCGCCGAAGGAUGUGGCUGCGGCCGAUUAGGUAGACGGUGGGGUAACGGCCCACCGUGCCAAUAAUCGGUAUGGGUCAUGAGAGUGAGAACCCAGAGACGGAAUCUGAGACAAGAUUCCGGGCCCUACGGGGCGCAGCAGGCGCGAAACCUUUACACUGCACGACAGUGCGAUAGGGGGAUCCCAAGUGCACAGGCAUAGCGCCUGUGCUUUUCGGUACCGUAAGGUGGUACCAGAAUAAGGGCUGGGCAAGACCGGUGCCAGC